rnacentral:piRNA from 1 species
UAAAACAACCAUGGCUAUCUUAAUCCUA